UGGGGAAUUUUGCACAAUGGGGGAAACCCUGAUGCAGCGACGCCGCGUGAUUUAGAAGGCCUUCGGGUUGUAAAAAUCUUUUCUAUGGGAAGAAAAUGACAGUACCAUAGGAAUAAGGACCGGCUAAUUACGUGCCAGCAGCCGCGGUAAUACGUAAGGUCCGAGCGUUGUCCGGAAUCAUUGGGCGUAAAGGGUACGUAGGCGGGUAAGCAAGUUAGAAGUGAAAUCCUAUAGCUCAACUAUAGUAAGCUUUUAAAACUGCUCAUCUUGAGGUAUGGAAGGGAAAGUGGAAUUCCUAGUGUGGCGGUGAAAUGCGCAGAUAUUAGGAGGAAUACCGGGGGCGAAGGCGACUUUCUGGCCAUAACCUGACGCUGAGGUACGAAGGCGUGGGUAGCAAACAGG
rnacentral:rRNA from 1 species